CUGGGUCAUUGUGCAGAAUGUCACGGAGGGUAGGAUAGAAUGCUGUGUUUUUUAAAAAGGGGGAGGGGUAAAAGAAUACACGCUGUUUUAAACUUAAAUCAAGUAUAGUCUCAUGCAAAUCAUUGUCAUGGUUCAAAAUGGCACAGGUUUAUUACUACAACCACUGAACCAGUAAUUCUGGUUAUCCUUUCUCUUGAAUAUUCUGCUCAAUUAAAUGCCAUUGGGCUUGGUUUGCUCUGCU